rnacentral:rRNA from 1 species
CGUGUAGGCGGCCCGGUAAGUCCGCUGUGAAAGUCGGGGGCUCAACCCUCGAACGCCGGUGGAUACUGUCGGGCUCGAGUACGGAAGAGGCGAGUGGAAUUCCUGGUGUAGCGGUGAAAUGCGCAGAUAUCAGGAGGAACACCUAUUGCGAAGGCAGCUCGCUGGGACGUAACUGACGCUGAGACGCGAAAGCGUGGGAGCAAACA